AGACGGGAUGUGGACUGAAAAUAAGUAGGGAAGCACGUGAGCUGACUGUCAAGAAAAGCCGCUAUUGUUUGCAGGAUACCCGUACCGUAAACCGACACAGGUGGAUGAGGAGAGAAUCCUAAGGCCGACGGGAGAAGCAUUGUUAAGGAACUCGGCAAAAUGACUCCGUAACUUCGUGAGAAGGAGUGCCAGUAAGAUGGCCGCAGAGAAUUGGCCCAAGCAACUGUUUAGCAAAAACACAGGUCUAUGCAAAACCGAAAGGUGAGGUAUAUGGGCUGACGCCUGCCCGGUGCUGGAAGGUUAAGGGGAGAGGUUAGCGCAAGCGAAGCUUUGAACUUAAGCCCCAGUAAACGGCGGCCGUAACCAUAACGGUCCUAAGGUAGCGAAAUUCCUUGUCGGGUAAGUUCCGACCCGCACGAAAGGCGUAAUGAUUUGGGCACUGUCUCAACAAUGCACCCGGUGAAAUUGAAAUACCAGUGAAGAUGCUGGUUACCUGCGCCAGGACGGAAAGACCCCAUGGAGCUUUACUCCAGCUUGAUACUGGGAUUCGGUAUUGCAUGUACAGGAUAGGUGGGAGGCUAGGAAAUGGUAACGCCAGUUGCCAUGGAGCCAAUGUUGGGAUACCACCCUUGCAGUACUGGGUUUCUAACCAGCAGCCGUGAUCCGGCUGGGGGACAAUGACAGGUGGGGAGUUUGACUGGGGCGGUCGCCUCCGAAAGGGUAUCGGAGGCGCUCAAAGGUUCCCUCAGAAUGGUUGGAAACCAUUCGAAGAGUGCAAAGGCAGAAGGGAGCUUGACUGCGACACCGACGGGUGGAGCAGGUACGAAAGUAGGACUUAGUGAUCCGGUGGUAUAAAGUGGGAUUGCCAUCGCUCAACGGAUAAAAGCUACCCUGGGAUAACAGGCUUAUCACUCCCAAGAGUUCACAUCGACGGAGUGGUUUGGCACCUCGAUGUCGGCUCAUCGCAUCCUGGGGCUGAAGUAGGUCCCAAGGGUUGGGCUGUUCGCCCAUUAAAGCGGUACGCGAGCUGGGUUCAGAACGUCGUGAGACAGUUCGGUCCCUAUCCGGCGUGGGCGUAAGAUAUUUGAGAGGAGCUGUCCUUAGUACGAGAGGACCGGGAUGGACUGGCCGCUGGUGUAUCUGUUGUCUUACCAAAGGCAUAGCAGAGUAGCCAAGCCGGGAAGGGAUAAACGCUGAAGGCAUCUAAGCGUGAAGCCCCCCUCAAGAUGAGAUAUCUCAUAACGUCAAGUUAGUAAGACCCCUUGAAGACGACGAGGUAGAUAGGGCAGAGGUGGAAGUGUGGUAACACAUGGAGCUGACUGUUACUAAUAGGUCGAGGGCAUAAUC
rnacentral:rRNA from 1 species